AAUACUUAAAAAUUCUUUUUUAAAAAAUUUAUCCAAAUAUAAAAGAUACUGUUAAAAAAAGAUCUGUUUUAAAAACAUGAAAAAAUUAAGUAGCCAAUCCAAACUAACCCUAAUUUGUGUGGUCGCUCAGAGAUUUUUGGUCCAAUCUCUUCAACUUUUUGCUUGGAGUUCAUCUGAGUGCAAUUCAAAUACUUGCAAUAAUUGAUUAUGCUGUAAUUUUGGCUCUGCUGUUUGUUAAUUCUCUUGAAAUUGAUGCAUAAAACUAGAAUGGUGUAGCUCUAUGAUUUGCUAGCUCAUUGAUAGAUUAACAUUGCGGUAAUUGGAGUCCUCUAUGUGCUGAUUAUUUUAUUUUUUGAUUAUUCUGUAAUUUGAUAUUUCCAGUAUACGAAAGAGGACUUUUGUUCAUAGCAUAGAGACAGUAGGGACACUUUUUUUUUUUCGUUUGUUUACCGCUUAAGUAAUCAAUUUUCUUAUUACCAUGAUAAGUCUGAUGGAUCAACUUGAAUUUAUGUGUUAUUUCACUUAUUUGAUUUGCUUGCUGGAGUAAUGGAGCUAUUAACUUGUAAUGCUUUUAUGGUUGGGUGUGAAGUUCAAAACAUGAUUGUAGUCCUGAAAUAGUUUUAAUUGUAAUGAAAGGAGCAUGAGCCUUGGUGCAAGAAAUAUAUGGAACUAUAUAAUGAACUUAGAGAAAACUGGGAGCGACUUUAUUAGGAAAGAAUCAGUUAAAAUGAAGGACAACAAUCUUAGGAGUCCCUCUGAAUAAUGGAUCGUGCAGAAAAUUACUAACCUCUUUCCUGAGUUUGAAGAGCAAGGUCAGUUGAUUCUGACUUCAAAUCUAUCCUUUCUUCCUAAACAUGUUAUUCUAUAUUCUCAAAUGCAGUGCUAUAAAUUUGAUAGGUCUACAUGAUCCUGAAACAAUUCUUGGGCCUUUGGCUAACAAAUUAAGGCCUACAAUCUGUUGCUUGAUAAUUUGCAGAAGAAACUUGAUGAGGUUUGCUAAAGUGGCACAAACACAACUUCUGUGGUCUUUUAUACAUAUAAUUUACUAUCUUAAUUGUUUUUUCCAUUUUUCCCUGGAAGUCUUUCUUAAACAUGCAGCUCUAUGAAAAACCCUUGGAAUUGUUUGAAGAUGAUCAAUCAACUUCUGUAAGUUCUGUUAUGUUUUUUAGAAUUUUAAUUUUUCUGUUUUUUCAUUGAUGAAAUGUGUAAAUUGACAUGUAAAUGAUGGCGGGUUGUUUUACAUAGGCAUUUACUAAGAACAAUAGCAGCUCCUGUGGUGGAUAUGCUUCUUCAUGAUCUGGUAAUUCUAUACAGUGAACUGUUUGUAAACGUAAUAUAUAUCUUGAGGGUUUAAUAUGGUCUAACGCAAUGGAUUCAUCAUCUGCAGGAUGAACACAACAAAUUAAAGAAUGGUGUUGCGGUUCAAGAGGCUCCAAGUUCUGAAUCUAUUUCACUUAGUCUUGGAGACAGAGUUGCAAUUUCCAAGAGUUUUUCUAGACCUCUUGCAAAUAAGGCUCUUGCUGUUGUAGAGGCAUUGGAGGGAAAGAAUGUUGAAGUAUUCAUGGACGCAUUUAGAGCAGUAACUGAAGAGAAGUAACGUGUCUAUUAUUUUGUGAAACUUCAGGAAUGAUUUGACCUCCAAUGCUUUUGUAGUGAUUCAAACCUUGCAAUGUGGUUUGAUCUUGAAUAUUUAUGCUUUCGUCCUGAAUAUGAAAAUUUUAGGCUUAUUUAGAUUGUAUCUAUGAUGGUAAUAUAGACAAAUUUUGGCACCUUUGACAGAACUGUAUUUCAUGCAAUCAUAUAAUAUUUCCUAUUGAGUAAUAACAUGUAGUGAAUCUUAUUACUUGAGGGAGAUUUUGUCCACUUAUACUUGUUUCCUAUUUCCAGGAAGUGGGUACUUCCUUCUCGUCGCCCAGAUGGAACUAAAAAUUACAAGAACAGAGCUCCUAGAGCACCUGUUAUGAAAGUGAGUUUCCAUUAAUAACUAGAAGAGUGAAAAGGUUUACAAUCCACUUUUCCGGAUACUGAUUGACUCAGAUUUGAUUAUUUCUUUACUAUUACUUUGCUCUUAUUAGUCCAGCUCAGCAUCCUUCCUUAAAAUUGAAAUUGAUGAACCUGCUGCACAAGCUAUCAGUGCUUUGCUAUUACUAUUACUAUUACUUUGUUCUUAUUAUUCUAAGAAUGAUUUUGUUUCAUUAUCAGUGCUUAUCUUGUUUAGGGUUGAGAUUAUCACUACUGUAGGAAGAAUCUGUUUUGAGGUAAGUUCCUUUACAUAGAAACUUCAACUUUGUUCUAAUAUGUCUAUUCAGGGUUUUUUUCUGAAAUAAAAUAAAAAAAAUUAUUAACGUACAUAUGUGUAUUUCUCGAGACGAUGAAAAUAGUUGUCAUUUUCGUCAACAAUGUUAAAGAAGUCAUGCUUGUUGUCUGUGUGUAUAUUUGUGUACUCCUAUGUACUCUUAGAUACGAUGAUAAUGGCUAAAAACUUUGAUUUCCGUGUAUUUUAGAAAAGAUUUAAAGAAAGUUCACCUAAAAAAUAGAGUUUGCCGGAGGUGCGACGAACUCGCCUUAAAUUAAAAAAAAAUCGUAUUUAAAAAAUUAAAGUUGAAAAAUAGGAUUUUGAAAAAUAAUAAAUAUUUUUAUUUUAUUUCAGUGAAAAAUCCUAUUACACGGGUGUUAAUACCAAUGUUUUAAAAAUUGGAAUAGUUCAACCGCAAACCGACAACAUUAAUAGUCUAAUCAGACAUAUAAAAUGGUUGUUUAAAAAACUGGUGAAAAACCAUUGAACCAGCAGAGAACCAGCCGGUCGGACUGAACCGGAACCCGCCCGGUUUACACAAAAACGGAAGCCCCUUCGUUUCUUUCUCCCUUCCAUUCAGAAAGAAAUCACACAAACCCAGCCAAAAAACCCUAGCACUGUAAGCCUACACCACCGCCGCAAGGAGUCGCACUCAAAGUUCACCAUCCGUCCGUCUAUCUAGCUUCCCUCGUGCUCCAAGUCUUCAACCCCUGUUUGCUGUCACCGAUCGCGGUUGCUUCCUCGAGCUCGGCGUCCGUCGUCUUUGUCUGCUCAGC